GGAGGGUGGAGUCCUCCAGAGGAGGCUUCGCCUUCUCCCCUCCCUGCAGCCCUUAGCCAGGGCCCCACCCGGGCAGCUCGUCAGCUGGGCUACCGGAGAAGGGGGGAGGGGAGCGGCGAGGGGAGGGGGAGCGGUCCUGACACAUGGGGUGCCUGCAUACCUCUCAGCUGUUGUUCAUUAGAGCCGGCUUAAUUUAACCCUCGUGCUGGCCCCCUUUGGCUCCUGUGGUAGGAUAGAGAGCCCAGCCCCUUAUUGGGCCAAGACCCUCCCUGUUCGCAGCCCGGCCCAGCCCAGGGCAGGGCAGACCGACGGCGGAAGGAUGGACAGUCGGAAGGAGGGCCGAAGCUUGCCCAGGGUGCUUUUGGGGGGACUUGCUGGCCAGAUUCUCCCUCCACACGGGAAGGAGGAAAAGCAGACCAUCCCCCGGGGCUUCGGGGGGAGAACAAGACCUUCCCAAAUCUCUUUCCUGGGAUCUCCCUUCAUCCUGGGCAGAUGGGGUUGUCUCAGGCCCAAGCCCGAGAUCCUUCCACCUUUCCAAGCAUCGCUCCCCUCUGGAGCUCACGUAUGUGUAAGCCUGGCAUGGAAGGGGUGGGCGGAGGCCUGGGAUUUCCCUUCUAAUGAUGGGGCCAAUCUUGGUCCUCCCACCUCACUCAGGACACAGACUUUGAGGAUUCAGCUGUGGCCUUCCGGUGUAAGCUUGACUGAGAGGACCGCUGUUGGGGAGCGGCACCCCAGGGCACGCAUGGCCAGUUUAUCCGACUGGCAGUGCUCUUCAGGCAGGGAGGGAGGGUGAGAUGGGAGUCAGAAUCAUCUUGGAUUUGAAGACAGAUAAGGCUUGAGUUCAAAUCUAGACUUUGACACUAGCUGGGUGGCCCUGGGUAAGCCUCUCCCUCUCUCAGGUCUCAGUUUCCUCUUCUGUAAAGUGGGGCAAAUAAUGAUUGUGUGAGCAGCCUCGCUGGCUUGUCCCCAAAGCCCCCGGAGUUAAUGAAUAGGAGGGCCCAUGAUGCUCUGUGCUCUAGUAAUAGGCGACAUUCCCGGGGAUCGGAGCAGAGUGACGUUGCAGCCUGAGCCCUCCCCCCUCUCCCCACACCUAGCAGAACGAACCCUGAUUCAGAGACUCAGACCUAGAGCCACUAGUGAAAUCCCUUCCUUUUCCAGGUAAGAGGAGUGAAGCUCAGCCAGGUGAAGUCCCUCCCGCCCAGGGCUCCGUCUCCUAGGUGUGCAGUAGCAAAGGCAGGGGCUGAAUGAGCCCAGUCCAGCCCGCCGGCCUCCUCCAGCACCGGGCAGCCUCCCUGGGAGGCUAGCUCCCAUUUCCUCAUAACACGCCCGAGAGGGGCGGGGGCGGUACAGGUAGCGUCCUCCGGACUGGGCGGAGGAGGGAACUGAGGUUUAGGGAGGGGCCGCCUCGGCAGGAAUCGCCAAGCUAGGAAGUGUCCAAGGUAGGAGCGGCAGUUUCCAGGUGUAGCAGUCGGCCCAGCAGGCCCGAUCUAGGCUCACGGGCUGCCUUGGGUCCGAGCGAUGCCCCCUUUCCUCCGCAGCCUAGCUCAGGCCUGCGCCCGGGCUCCCUCCAUGGGACCCGCGACUUCCCGCCUCCUCGGAGCCCUAGACCAGGAGAAGGAGGGGAAGGAGGAGUAGGAGGAGGACUAGGACAAGGAGGAGGACGAGGAGGAGGAGGAGGGACCCUCAGGGUUGCGCGGCCGCCCCCACCGGGUCGGACCCUUGUGGCUUGAGCCCCGCCACCGCCGCCGGUGGGCUAUCCGUGUGGAUAGCCAUUUCGGGAAAAUGGCUUGGGU
ensembl:lncRNA